CGGUAAGGUGAUAUGAACCGUUAUAACCGGCGAUUUCCGAAUGGGGAAACCCAGUGUGAUUCGUCACACUAUCAUUAACUGAAUCCAUAGGUUAAUGAGGCGAACCGGGGGAACUGAAACAUCUAAGUACCCCGAGGAAAAGAAAUCAACCGAGAUUCCCCCAGUAGCGGCGAGCGAACGGGGAGCAGCCCAGAGCCUGAAUCAGUGUGUGUGUUAGUGGAAGCGUCUGGAAAGGCGUGCGAUACAGGGUGACAGCCCCGUACACAAAAAUGCACAUACUGUGAGCUCGAUGAGUAGGGCGGGACACGUGGUAUCCUGUCUGAAUAUGGGGGGACCAUCCUCCAAGGCUAAAUACUCCUGACUGACCGAUAGUGAACCAGUACCGUGAGGGAAAGGCGAAAAGAACCCCGGCGAGGGGAGUGAAAAAGAACCUGAAACCGUGUACGUACAAGCAGUGGGAGCACGCUUAGGCGUGUGACUGCGUACCUUUUGUAUAAUGGGUCAGCGACUUAUAUUCUGUAGCAAGGUUAACCGAAUAGGGGAGCCGAAGGGAAACCGAGUCUUAACUGGGCGUUAAGUUGCAGGGUAUAGACCCGAAACCCGGUGAUCUAGCCAUGGGCAGGUUGAAGGUUGGGUAACACUAACUGGAGGACCGAACCGACUAAUGUUGAAAAAUUAGCGGAUGACUUGUGGCUGGGGGUGAAAGGCCAAUCAAACCGGGAGAUAGCUGGUUCUCCCCGAAAGCUAUUUAGGUAGCGCCUCGUGAAUUCAUCUCCGGGGGUAGAGCACUGUUUCGGCAAGGGGGUCAUCCCGACUUACCAACCCGAUGCAAACUGCGAAUACCGGAGAAUGUUAUUACGGGAGACACACGGCGGGUGCUAACGUCCGUCGUGAAGAGGGAAACAACCCAGACCGCCAGCUAAGGUCCCAAAGUCAUGGUUAAGUGGGAAACGAUGUGGGAAGGCCCAGACAGCCAGGAUGUUGGCUUAGAAGCAGCCAUCAUUUAAAGAAAGCGUAAUAGCUCACUGGUCGAGUCGGCCUGCGCGGAAGAUGUAACGGGGCUAAACCAUGCACCGAAGCUGCGGCAGCGACGCUUAUGCGUUGUUGGGUAGGGGAGCGUUCUGUAAGCCUGUGAAGGUGUGCUGUGAGGUAUGCUGGAGGUAUCAGAAGUGCGAAUGCUGACAUAAGUAACGAUAAAGCGGGUGAAAAGCCCGCUCGCCGGAAGACCAAGGGUUCCUGUCCAACGUUAAUCGGGGCAGGGUGAGUCGACCCCUAAGGCGAGGCCGAAAGGCGUAGUCGAUGGGAAACAGGUUAAUAUUCCUGUACUUGGUGUUACUGCGAAGGGGGGACGGAGAAGGCUAUGUUGGCCGGGCGACGGUUGUCCCGGUUUAAGCGUGUAGGCUGGUUUUCCAGGCAAAUCCGGAAAAUCAAGGCCGAGGCGUGAUGACGAGGCACUACGGUGCUGAAGCAACAAAUGCCCUGCUUCCAGGAAAAGCCUCUAAGCAUCAGGUAACAUCAAAUCGUACCCCAAACCGACACAGGUGGUCAGGUAGAGAAUACCAAGGCGCUUGAGAGAACUCGGGUGAAGGAACUAGGCAAAAUGGUGCCGUAACUUCGGGAGAAGGCACGCUGAUACGUAGGUGAAGCGACUUGCUCGUGGAGCUGAAAUCAGUCGAAGAUACCAGCUGGCUGCAACUGUUUAUUAAAAACACAGCACUGUGCAAACACGAAAGUGGACGUAUACGGUGUGACGCCUGCCCGGUGCCGGAAGGUUAAUUGAUGGGGUUAGCGCAAGCGAAGCUCUUGAUCGAAGCCCCGGUAAACGGCGGCCGUAACUAUAACGGUCCUAAGGUAGCGAAAUUCCUUGUCGGGUAAGUUCCGACCUGCACGAAUGGCGUAAUGAUGGCCAGGCUGUCUCCACCCGAGACUCAGUGAAAUUGAACUCGCUGUGAAGAUGCAGUGUACCCGCGGCAAGACGGAAAGACCCCGUGAACCUUUACUAUAGCUUGACACUGAACAUUGAGCCUUGAUGUGUAGGAUAGGUGGGAGGCUUUGAAGUGUGGACGCCAGUCUGCAUGGAGCCGACCUUGAAAUACCACCCUUUAAUGUUUGAUGUUCUAACGUGGACCCGUGAUCCGGGUUGCGGACAGUGUCUGGUGGGUAGUUUGACUGGGGCGGUCUCCUCCUAAAGAGUAACGGAGGAGCACGAAGGUUGGCUAAUCCUGGUCGGACAUCAGGAGGUUAGUGCAAUGGCAUAAGCCAGCUUGACUGCGAGCGUGACGGCGCGAGCAGGUGCGAAAGCAGGUCAUAGUGAUCCGGUGGUUCUGAAUGGAAGGGCCAUCGCUCAACGGAUAAAAGGUACUCCGGGGAUAACAGGCUGAUACCGCCCAAGAGUUCAUAUCGACGGCGGUGUUUGGCACCUCGAUGUCGGCUCAUCACAUCCUGGGGCUGAAGUAGGUCCCAAGGGUAUGGCUGUUCGCCAUUUAAAGUGGUACGCGAGCUGGGUUUAGAACGUCGUGAGACAGUUCGGUCCCUAUCUGCCGUGGGCGCUGGAGAACUGAGGGGGGCUGCUCCUAGUACGAGAGGACCGGAGUGGACGCAUCACUGGUGUUCGGGUUGUCAUGCCAAUGGCACUGCCCGGUAGCUAAAUGCGGAAGAGAUAAGUGCUGAAAGCAUCUAAGCACGAAACUUGCCCCGAGAUGAGUUCUCCCUGACCCUUUAAGGGUCCUGAAGGAACGUUGAAGACGACGACGUUGAUAGGCCGGGUGUGUAAGCGCAGCGAUGCGUUGAGCUAACCGGUACUAAUGAACCGUGAGGCUUAACCUUACAACGCCGAAG
rnacentral:rRNA from 1 species